rnacentral:sRNA from 1 species
GCAUUUGGUAAUCUGUGAAUACACGCUCACUGCUCUCGUUUUCCUCUCUGCUUGCGCCCACUAUCAGAAUCGAUGUCCACCGUAAAGAAAAUGCGGGGGCUGCUGAGAAGUCGAUUACUAUCCUCUCUACUCCUGAAGGCACCUCUGCGGCUUGUAAGUCUAUUCUGGAGAUUAUGCAUAAGGAAGCUCAAGAUAUAAAAUUCACAGAAGAGAUCCCCUUAAAGAUUUUAGCUCAUAAUAACUUUGUUGGACGUCUUAUUGGUAAAGAAGGAAGAAAUCUUAAAAAAAUUGAGCAAGACACAGACACUAAAAUCACGAUAUCUCCAUUGCAGGAAUUGACGCUGUAUAAUCCAGAACGCACUAUUACAGUUAAAGGCAAUGUUGAGACAUGUGCCAAAGCUGAGGAGGAGAUCAUGAAGAAAAUCAGGGAGUCUUAUGAAAAUGAUAUUGCUUCUAUGAAUCUUCAAGCACAUUUAAUUCCUGGAUUAAAUCUGAACGCCUUGGGUCUGUUCCCACCCACUUCAGGGAUGCCACCUCCCACCUCAGGGCCCCCUUCAGCCAUGACUCCUCCCUACCCGCAGUUUG